rnacentral:rRNA from 1 species
CUUACCAACCCGAUGCAAACUGCGAAUACCGGAGAAUGUUAUCACGGGAGACACACGGCGGGUGCUAACGUCCGUCGUGAAGAGGGAAACAACCCAGACCGCCAGCUAAGGUCCCAAAGUCAUGGUUAAGUGGGAAACGAUGUGGGAAGGCCCAGACAGCCAGGAUGUUGGCUUAGAAGCAGCCAUCAUUUAAAGAAAGCGUAAUAGCUCACUGGUCGAGUCGGCCUGCGCGGAAGAUGUAACGGGGCUAAACCAUGCACCGAAGCUGCGGCAGCGAACGUAUCACUUAAAGCGAUUCAGCGGGUUACGAUUGACGGAGCGAAGCGACGUCAAAGCGUAUACAAAGUCGAGUCGGUUUAAGGAUACGUUCGUUGGGUAGGGGAGCGUUCUGUAAGCCUGCGAAGGUGGCCUGUGAGGGUUGCUGGAGGUAUCAGAAGUGCGAAUGCUGACAUAAGUAACGAUAAAGCGGGUGAAAAGCCCGCUCGCCGGAAGACCAAGGGUUCCUGUCCAACGUUAAUCGGGGCAGGGUGAGUCGACCCCUAAGGCGAGGCCGAAAGGCGUAGUCGAUGGGAAACGGGUUAAUAUUCCCGUACUUGGUGUUACUGCGAAGGGGGGACGGAGAAGGCUAUGUUGGCCGGGCGACGGUUGUCCCGGUUUAAGCGUGUAGGUGUGUGUUCCAGGUAAAUCCGGUUCACUUUAACACUGAGGCGUGA